GUCUGGGUGGCGCAAUUGGUUAGCGCGUCUGACUGUUAAUCAGGAGGUUAUGAGUUCGAUCCUCAUCCUGGACG
rfam:Aspergillus oryzae strain BCC7051 OAory_C06, whole genome shotgun sequence.